AUGAACGCUAGCUACAGGCUUAACACAUGCAAGUCGAGGGGCAGCAUGGUCUUAGCUUGCUAAGGCCGAUGGCGACCGGCGCACGGGUGAGUAACACGUAUCCAACCUGCCGUCUACUCUUGGACAGCCUUCUGAAAGGAAGAUUAAUACAAGAUGGCAUCAUGAGUCCGCAUGUUCACAUGAUUAAAGGUAUUCCGGUAGACGAUGGGGAUGCGUUCCAUUAGAUAGUAGGCGGGGUAACGGCCCACCUAGUCUUCGAUGGAUAGGGGUUCUGAGAGGAAGGUCCCCCACAUUGGAACUGAGACACGGUCCAAACUCCUACGGGAGGCAGCAGUGAGGAAUAUUGGUCAAUGGGCGAGAGCCUGAACCAGCCAAGUAGCGUGAAGGAUGACUGCCCUAUGGGUUGUAAACUUCUUUUAUAAAGGAAUAAAGUCGGGUAUGGAUACCCGUUUGCAUGUACUUUAUGAAUAAGGAUCGGCUAACUCCGUGCCAGCAGCCGCGGUAAUACGGAGGAUCCGAGCGUUAUCCGGAUUUAUUGGGUUUAAAGGGAGCGUAGAUGGAUGUUUAAGUCAGUUGUGAAAGUUUGCGGCUCAACCGUAAAAUUGCAGUUGAUACUGGAUAUCUUGAGUGCAGUUGAGGCAGGCGGAAUUCGUGGUGUAGCGGUGAAAUGCUUAGAUAUCACGAAGAACUCCGAUUGCGAAGGCAGCCUGCUAAGCUGCAACUGACAUUGAGGCUCGAAAGUGUGGGUAUCAAACAGGAUUAGAUACCCUGGUAGUCCACACCGUAAACGAUGAUUACUAGGUGUUGGAGGAUUGACCCCUUCAGUGCCGCAGUUAACACAAUAAGUAAUCCACCUGGGGAGUACGACCGCAAGGUUGAAACUCAAAGGAAUUGACGGGGGCCCGCACAAGCGGAGGAACAUGUGGUUUAAUUCGAUGAUACGCGAGGAACCUUACCCGGGCUUAAAUUGCAGAUGAAUUACGGUGAAAGCCGUAAGCCGCAAGGCAUCUGUGAAGGUGCUGCAUGGUUGUCGUCAGCUCGUGCCGUGAGGUGUCGGCUUAAGUGCCAUAACGAGCGCAACCCUUGUUGUCAGUUACUAACAGGUUCCGCUGAGGACUCUGACAAGACUGCCAUCGUAAGAUGUGAGGAAGGUGGGGAUGACGUCAAAUCAGCACGGCCCUUACGUCCGGGGCUACACACGUGUUACAAUGGGGGGUACAGAGGGCCGCUACCACGCGAGUGGAUGCCAAUCCCCAAAACCUCUCUCAGUUCGGACUGGAGUCUGCAACCCGACUCCACGAAGCUGGAUUCGCUAGUAAUCGCGCAUCAGCCACGGCGCGGUGAAUACGUUCCCGGGCCUUGUACACACCGCCCGUCAAGCCAUGGGAGCCGGGGGUACCUGAAGUGCGUAACCGCGAGGAGCGCCCUAGGGUAAAACUGGUGACUGGGGCU
rnacentral:rRNA from 1 species